AAAAUCUGGUAUUUUUGUAUUGUUACUUUAAGCUUUAUACAAUCGUGACCGCAAGUCUAUGAUUGAGUUCAAGUGACUAAACUCCUUAUUGAUUGUAACAGCAUGGUAAUUAAAAACCUCUAACUACACUGAGGUUGAGGAGUUUGUAUGUAUGUAUGUUGUAAUACAUGAAUUUGAAGGAGUUCUUUGUGUUCAGUUGUCUUAAAACUUUGUUGUUUGACAUUUAUGUUAAGAAUUGUCUUGCAGAAAGUUUAUUUUCAUUUGUCUUGAAAAUGUCUCUGUAUCACCCAAAAACAAAUAUACUUUAUAACAAAAAAACCUUGAAUUUACACAUUAAAAUAAACUGUGAUAGGAUG
rnacentral:misc_RNA from 1 species